GCAGCAGCGUGUUCUCGCCAAUAGGCGCCCCCAUUCCGAGAGGAACGGGAAAUCACCCAAAUGCUCAUUUAGUUGGGAUUGGGGACUGCAACGGUCCCCAUGAACCUGGAAUUUCUAGUAAGUGCUAGUCAUUAGCUAGCGCU
rnacentral:ncRNA from 1 species